UACGGGGGGUGCGAGCGUUGUCCGGAAUCACUGGGCGUAAAGGGCGCGUAGGUGGUUUGAUAAGGGUGUGGUGAAAGUCCGGAGCUCAACUCCGGAUCUGCCGUGCCGACUGUCAAACUCGAGGGCUGUAGAGGCAGACGGAAUUCCGGGUGUAGCGGUGGAAUGCGUAGGGAUCCGGAGGAAGACCGGUGGCGAAGGCGGUCUGCUGGGCAGUUUCUGACACUGAUGCGCGACAGCGUGGGGAGCAAACAGG
rnacentral:rRNA from 1 species